ACUAGUCUGGUGAGUGUUCCCGUGCUCAAGGAGCACAACAUUAAUUAGCAAAUGAAGAAGGUCCUGAGAAAGAGGCUGCGAAAGAAAACCUACUCAACGUGAAGAUGAUGAGAAUGAAGACCUUUAUGAUGAUCUGCUUCCACUUAAAGAAUAGUAGGUAUUUGGCUGACUCCUGGACUAUGCAAGCACAAGAAGAGAUUUCAGAAGGUUUGGAAGAGAGUCUCUUCUGAGAGGCUGAGGGCUAAGAAGACUGCCCUGUGCAGGAAAGAUGUUGGAGUGCAAGCCCAUCUGGAAUGGAGAGACCUCGAUGAAACACAUAGGCAAUUAAUUAGAUCCCAGAAAGGCCACACUGUGCAAUUGACUGCAGGUAACUGAAACUGCGGAAAGUGAAACUGCAGAUAAGAGGGACCACUGUAAAUAAGUGACAUGAAUGAUACUGCAAAGGACCAUAGCCUAACCAGCCAAGCAAACUGGAAGUACCUUUAGACUCACGCUUUGCCAAGCUCAGUUCCAGAAUCACAUGAUGAAAAGAAUGAUGGAAAGAAAAUGUUUGUGAUAUUAAAAUUAAGGAAAUUACUCCAACUCAGAGCUUUGAAUCUUGACAGAGUGUUGCAAAGACAGAAGAAAUG
rnacentral:lncRNA from 1 species